GAUUGAACGCUGGCGGCAUGCUUUACACAUGCAAGUCGAACGGCAGCGCGGGCUUCGGCCUGGCGGCGAGUGGCGAACGGGUGAGUAAUGCAUCGGAACGUGCCCAGUAGUGGGGGAUAGCCCGGCGAAAGCCGGAUUAAUACCGCAUACGACCUGAGGGGGAAAGCGGGGGACCGAAAGGCCUCGCGCUAUUGGAGCGGCCGAUGUCGGAUUAGCUAGUUGGUGGGGUAAAGGCUUACCAAGGCGACGAUCCGUAGCUGGUCUGAGAGGACGACCAGCCACACUGGGACUGAGACACGGCCCAGACUCCUACGGGAGGCAGCAGUGGGGAAUUUUGGACAAUGGGGGCAACCCUGAUCCAGCCAUGCCGCGUGCGGGAAGAAGGCCUUCGGGUUGUAAACCGCUUUUGUUCGGGAAGAAAUCCUCUGGGCUAAUACCCCGGGGGGAUGACGGUACCGGAAGAAUAAGCACCGGCUAACUACGUG
rnacentral:rRNA from 1 species